ACGGGAGGCAGCCGUGGGGAAUAUUGGGCAAUGGGCGAAAGCCUGACCCAGCGACGCCGCGUGGAGGAAGAAGGUCUUCGGAUCGUAAACUCCUGUCCUCAAAGACGAGAAGAAGACGGUAUUUGAGGAGGAAGCCCCGGCUAAUUACGUGCCAGCAGCCGCGGUAAUACGUAGGGGGCAAGCGUUGUCCGGAAUGAUUGGGCGUAAAGGGCGCGUAGGCGGCCCGGUAAGUCUGGAGUGAAAGUCCUGCUUUUAAGGUGGGAAUUGCUUUGGAUACUGUCGGGCUUGAGUGCAGGAGAGGUAAGUGGAAUUCCCAGUGUAGCGGUGAAAUGCGUAGAGAUUGGGAGGAACACCAGUGGCGAAGGCGACUUACUGGACUGUAACUGACGCUGAGGAGCGAAAGUGUGGGGAGCAAACAGGAUUAGAUCCCCUGGUA
rnacentral:rRNA from 1 species